rnacentral:rRNA from 1 species
UGGGGAAUUUUGGACAAUGGGGGAAACCCUGAUGCAGCGACGCCGCGUGAGUUAGAAGGCCUUCGGGUUGUAAAAAUCUUUUCUAUGGGAAGAAACUGACAGUACCAUAGGAAUAAGGACCGGCUAAUUACGUGCCAGCAGCCGCGGCAAUACGUAAGGUCCGAGCGUUGUCCGGAAUCAUUGGGCGUAAAGGGUACGUAGGCGGGUAAGCAAGUUAGAAGUGAAAUCCUGUAGCUCAACUACAGUAAGCUUUUAAAACUGCUCAUCUUGAGAUAUGGAAGGGAAAGUGGAAUUCCUAGUGUAGCGGUGAAAUGCGCAGAUAUUAGGAGGAAUACCGGUGGCGAAAGCGGCUUUCUGGCCCUAAUCUGACGCUGAGGUACGAAAGCGUGGGUAGCAAACAGG